rnacentral:rRNA from 1 species
GACAGAGGGUGCAAACGUUGUUCGGAAUUACUGGGCGUAAAGCGCGUGUAGGCUGCUUGGAAAGUCGGAUGUGAAAGCCCUGGGCUCAACCUAGGAAGUGCAUUCGAAAACUUCUGAGCUGGAGUUCUGGAGAGGAAGGCGGAAUUCUCGGUGUAGAGGUGAAAUUCGUAGAUAUCGAGAGGAACACCGGUGGCGAAGGCGGCCUUCUGGACAGUGACUGACGCUGAGACGG